rnacentral:rRNA from 1 species
UGGCGCACGGGUGCGUAACGCGUAGGUAAUCUGCCCUGAGGUCUGACAUAACCCGUCAAAGGCGGGCUAACAUCAGAUGAUAUAUAAUCACGACAUCGUGGAAAUAUCAAAUCUUCGGAGCCUUGGGAUGAGCCUGCGUCUGAUUAGGUAGUUGGCGGAGUAAUAGCCCACCAAGCCUACGAUCAGUAGCUGGUCUGAGAGGAUGAUCAGCCACACUGGAACUGAGACACGGUCCAGACUCCUACGGGAGGCAGCAGUAAGGAAUAUUGCUCAAUGGGGGAAACCCUGAAGCAGCAACGCCGCGUGAAGGAUGAAAUACUUUUGUAUGUAAACUUCUGUAAGAUGGGAAAAAUAUUCUCCUCGGGAGAAUUGAUUGUACCAUCAGAGUAAGCCCCGGCUAACUACGUG